AGACCAACCCAAUUCGGCAGUCAUGAGACUCGUUACUCAAAUAUCCAUAUUCUCUAAAUUUUGUCUCCUACCCUCCUUUCUUCACAAAAAAAGGACUCCAACCGAGCCCUCCAUCGCCUCUAUCGUCGCCUAGGCUUCUCCAUCCGCUGCCUUCCCAUGCGAACGACUUUCUCCCUCAUUCCUCUCACUCUCUCUCCUCAUCUUCUUGCCUUUCUUUCAAAACCCUACAUUUUCUCUCUCCUCACACCUUCUUCUACGAUGCAAUCUCUCAGUUCAGGCUGAUUCUUCUUCAUCUGACAAUGGCAUAAACUUCAAUUUCGACCUCUCCACCAUUGGUCUGUCAACGGCGGUGUUAGGGCUUCGCGAUUUGCUUCAAUAUCGGCGCUUUUGUCUCUGUUGUUGUAGAGAAUGUCAAAGUUUUAAAUUCUCUCAAGGUCAUAUUUGGUUACUACUGGUGAUGAUGCCAAAGACUCUGCUAAGGAAGAGGUUGUCAUAAAUAAAGAAAUGAAAUUCCACGUUCAAUAAACUAGUUGCUCGUUGGAAUGCAUGGAAGCACUUUAAAUGUAGAGAUUUAUUGGAGCAUUUUAUAUAUGUAGAAGUUAUCUUGAAUAGAAUUCAAAAACCAUGAAUUUUGUUUAGUAUAUUAGUUAUUAGAUUUGUAAUUAUGUACUUUGUAAAUUAACCCAUAGGCAUGAAUAUAUAUAGUAUGCAUAAUUUUUUUUUUGGGUAUAAAAAUCUAAAAAGAAAUUAUGAAUAUAUAGUUUUAUAUUACAUUGA